AAAGAAAAAUAACAAGACCAGACUACCCUAACUAAAGACACAGACGAAGCGAAAGGGCUGUUUCAUAAAUCAAUCCUUUUCUAUCCCAAAUUGUGCAACCAGAAACAAGCAAUUCAUACUAAAAAGCUUCAAGGUUUCCAGAUGAUGGUGGUGUCCGCGAUCAUGGCAGUAACGACGUAUGGAUCCAUAUUUGAAGCUGGCCUUCUGUCCUCAAAGUAUCCCUUGCCCGCCUUCUCUGUGUCCCGUCCUACACGGACAGAUGCACCGCGGUUUGCAACCCCCUGCACAUGUCAAAUGAAGUUGUGUUAUAACACGAUAAGAUGUUAUGAGUUUCAUUUUAUAUAACAGUGUUUAAUUGGACUUGGAGGGGGCAGCCAGGUACACUAAGCUUUCGUACCACAAGGGUCCAUUGUACGCAGCCUUAAUGUAAGAGGCUGUUUUUACGGCUCGAACCCGUGACCUCCUGGUCACAUGUAGGACUUUACCAGUUACGCCAAAACUCCCCUUCUUAAUUGGACUUGGAGAUUAAAAAAAAUUUCUUAGCAACAAAGACCCAUUCGAAAUGUUUAAACAGCAGAGAAAGUCCAAAGUCGAUCUCAACUUCCUAACCAUAUUUAUAGUUGAACCUCCACUACCAAAGAAAAAAAUAGUCAAAUUAAGAAAUGAUGAUGAGAAAGAUAAAACUGUUUAUAUACCCAUUUGAAGGUGUCGAUGUUGGCUGUUUCGUGCUUUCCAGUGAGACGACGCUCAUUGCCUUCGCCAUAUGCAGCAAUGUGCUCUUUGUGCUUCAGGCCAAGCUUCUCAAUAGCCUUCAAAAUGACUUCGUAGCCUCCAUCUUCCCUCAUCAACUUGGUG
rnacentral:lncRNA from 1 species